UUUCCGUAGGUGAACCUGCGGAAGGAUCACUCAAAGUUAGCAAAUGAUGUGAAUUUUCUGAAUACAUAUCUGCAUCUGCUUCAGUGGGAGGGCUCAUGGUGGGGUCGAGAGCGCCAGCCGCAAACAUCAACUAUAUCUAAUCUCUUUGUUUGAAAAAUAUUAUGAAUAAAAAAAUUAAAAAUACAACUUUCAACAACGGAUCUCUUGGCUCUC
rnacentral:misc_RNA from 1 species